rnacentral:misc_RNA from 1 species
AAGUCGUAACAAGGUUUCCGUAGGUGAACCUGCGGAAGGAUCAUUACCGAGUCUUUGAAGUGGGUUUGAUGCUGGCCUUCCGAGGCAUGUGCUCGCUCCGCUCUCAAUAUCCCACUCAACACCUGUGCACCCUACUGUUUUCGAAGGUCGCGGUCCUCCCGUCAAAGGGAGCAGCUCGGGAAACCGAGCCGGGGCCGCUGCUUUCGUUGACAUGUAACAAUACAAACCCUUAAAGUAACUUAGAAUGUGUAACCGGCCUACGGGCUUUUAAUAAAAUACAACUUUCAACAACGGAUCUCUUGGCUCUC